rnacentral:rRNA from 1 species
CCUACGGGUGGCAGCAGUGGGGGAUAUUGCACAAUGGGGGAAACCCUGAUGCAGCGACGCCGCGUGGGUGAAGAAGUAUUUCGGUAUGUAAAGCCCUAUCAGCAGGGAAGAAAGAAGACGGUACCUGAAGAAGAAGCCCCGGCUAACUACGGGCCAGCAGCCGCGGUAAUACGUAGGGGGCAAGCGUUAUCCGGAUUUACUGGGUGUAACGGGGGCGCAGACGGCGAUGCAAGCCAGGAGUGAAAGCCCGGGGCCCAACCCCGGGACUGCUCUUGGAACUGCGUGGCUGGAGUGCAGGAGGGGCAGGCGGAAUUCCUGGUGUAGCGGUGAAAUGCGUAGAUAUCAGGAGGAACACCGGUGGCGAAGGCGGCCUGCUGGACUGCAACUGACGUUGAGGCCCGAAAGCGUGGGGAGCAAACAGGAUUAGAUACCCGGGUAGUC